UCUGCAACCUCUGUUAUUGCAGACUGUGAAUGUGUUGUCUUGAAAUGUACAAGCUGCAAUUAAGAGCUAUUGGAUAAUAACUAUGCCAUGAAAAUGUCCUAAACUAUUAAAGAGCUGAAGAUGAUAGCGUGCUUUUAACGUUUCACAUAAACCAUUUGGGAUUUGAAGAAGUUUCAGCACUCAUGAGGAAGUCAGAAUUAUGCUUGCUGGGUUAAAGGGAAGGAAGAGAAAAACCCCUGAAUUAAAUUUUUGAGCUUGACACCCUCCACUUUUCUACAUGUUGCUCAAUUCUAAACAGGGAAAAUAAAAUCAGCUUUGUUCGUGAGCAUAUGCUUUUGACAUUUUUUCUUCUUGGAGCCUGUGAAUUAUUAAUAAACUAAUUUCUCUUUAUAGUUCAAUCUUUGGAGACUUAAAGUGCUCACUCAAAUGCACUGAACAAGAGGAAUGCUUCAGCUCCAAUCAGCUCCUGUCUUCUUUGGAAAUGCUGGCCCUGAGGGCACCUGCAUUGUUUCUGUCUCCUCACUGGGAUGAGUUCUACCAGUAACUCAGGAACAGCUCCC
rnacentral:lncRNA from 1 species